rnacentral:rRNA from 1 species
GAUGAACGCUGGCGGCGUGCCUAAUACAUGCAAGUCGAGCGAACAGACGAGGAGCUUGCUCCUCUGACGUUAGCGGCGGACGGGUGAGUAACACGUGGAUAACCUACCUAUAAGACUGGGAUAACUUCGGGAAACCGGAGCUAAUACCGGAUAAUAUAUUGAACCGCAUGGUUCAAUAGUGAAAGACGGUUUUGCUGUCACUUAUAGAUGGAUCCGCGCCGCAUUAGCUAGUUGGUAAGGUAACGGCUUGCCAAGGCAACGAUGCGUAGCCGACCUGAGAGGGUGAUCGGCCACACUGGAACUGAGACACGGUCCAGACUCCUACGGGAGGCAGCAGUAGGGAAUCUUCCGCAAAGGGCGAAAGCCUGACGGAGCAACGCCGCGUGAGUGAUGAAGGUCUUCGGAUCGUAAAACCCUGUUAUUAGGGAAGAACAAAUGUGUAAGUAACUAUGCACGUCUUGACGGUACCUAAUCAGAAAGCCACGGCUAACUACGUG